GUGAGGAAUUUUGCGCAAUGGGGGAAACCCUGACGCAGCGACGCCGCGUGGGUGAUGAAGGCUUUCGAGUCGUAAAGCCCUGUCAAGUGGGAAGAAACGUUGACGUAUGAAUAGUGCGUCAAUUUGACGGUACCACUAAAGGAAGCACCGGCUAACUCCGUGCCAGCAGCCGCGGUAAUACGGAGGGUGCAAGCGUUGUUCGGAAUUACUGGGCGUAAAGGGCGCGUAGGCGGCGCUGUAAGUCGGAUGUGAAAGUCCACGGCUUAACCGUGGAAGUGCAUCUGAUACUGCAGCGCUUGAGUAUCGGAUGGGAAAGUAGAAUUCCCGGUGUAGAGGUGAAAUUCGUAGAUAUCGGGAGGAAUACCGGUGGCGAAGGCGACUUUCUGGACGAAUACUGACGCUGAGGCGCGAAAGCGUGGGGAGCAAACAGGAUUAGAUACCCGUGUAGUCC
rnacentral:rRNA from 1 species